UGCCAAUGAUGCAAUCAUGUUUAGUUGCACGUAUUAACAGAGUAUUGAUGAUGAUUGUCAUUACCUCUGAGGCA
rnacentral:snoRNA from 1 species